rnacentral:lncRNA from 1 species
UGGUAAAGCUAACUCUCAAAACUCCUUAUCAUUACUAUCAAUUUUCUUAAAAAAUAAUAAACAAGAGAACAUAUAUAUGAUAUGCUUCAAAUUUUUUUCCGAUAAUUAGAUGCAAGUGAAAUCGUGAAUGAAGCUGUUGGAAACUGUGCCUUGGCUUGUUCUAAAGUCUGCAACAAAGGUUCGAUGAAUGCAGUGGAAACUGCCUAAACAACCUUAUUCACAAAGAUCCGAAGUACAUCAUCUAUGGAGUGUUGUUUUUCAUGUUUUUCAUGAUUUCAUCAAUAAUUGUCGUGUAUGUGGCAAAAAUAUAGAAGGUUAUCGAUCCCUAGAUUGUAUAUGCCUUCUAUUCCCUAUAUUUUCAAUAAUAUGUAAUUGUGUCGUUAUAUUUUUCGUUCAACCAUUAAAGUUGCUUUGUGCUUAGCUAUAUUACAUAGUAUCAACCAUUUUAGCAAACUAUUUGAUUAAUAUUCACAUAAAAAUUCAAUCUAAAAGACGAGACUUAAGUCACCACCUUCAUAUGCCAUAAAUGAUGCAUGAAACAUACCAUAAGUCACGAUAAUUGUUUUCUUAAUCUCACAACAGUAAUAUCAUGGAAACUAAAAUCAAAGGUUUCUCAAAAGAUUGAAGCCUAGAUUGUAAGUCGCAACUAAUUUCCAAGACAAUGCUUCAUUAAACAUGGAAUUCAUAAUAGUCGAGUUGCAGGAAAUAUGGCGAUACAUGCAGAGAAGUUUUAAAAAGAGAUACCGAUUUAUAUAUAAGAAAAUAGAUCAAGAUUACAAUAGUUGAAGCUAGUUAGAGCAGAGAAUACAUGAGAGACAGAUUUCAAAAACCUAAUGUUGAAGCCAAUCAAAGUUGUUGAAAAACAUUUCUGCAAAACACAUUUAUUAUGUACAACAAUGUAACUGCUUCAUUUUGCUAUUAAAAAACUCACUGAACAAUCCGAAAUUAGCUUGUCAUACGAUGGGAAGCUCCAGUAUCCGAGAAUAUACUUUUCUUUUAUAAACUAAAAUAAAAAAGAUAGGUAUAAUUUUCUUGCAUAAUAUAGUUAUCGAACAUGUUUACAUGUAAAAAUUGUCAAGUGGUUUUGAGUUUAAAGCAUUUUUUGUAAACUCAUCAUCUCAAUCAUUUCAUAUUAUUGGUAACUUUCUUUUUCAAAUUAUUAACUCUCAUAUAAUUUUUGUUAACUUUCUUUUUCAAUCAUCUCAAAGUUUAUAGAGAGAGAAUACUUAUAAUACAAACUCUAAUAUAAACCAAAUUAGUAUAAUUAAGAACGUACAUAAUAAUAACACGGUUAGUAAGAACAUAAAGAAUAUAACCAGCAAAACUCAUACGAAAUAUAUAAUAGUGAAUCAAAAGAAUGAAAAAAGAAUAAAAAACAAGAUUUCAGAGCAUUAAGAUUGAAAAAAAAGAAAAGAUAGGGUUGGUCCAACGCAGCAUCGACAGACAUUUAUUUGGCAUUUAUUUGGUCCUUGAUGUAUAUAUUAUUUGGUCCCGACUAUAGAGAGCAUGUGAUAAAUUAGGCAUUUAUUUGGUCCCGACGUAUAUAUAUUAUUUUUUAAAAAAUUAAUGUAAAUUAUAUUCAAAAGAAACUUUUUUUAAACCUCGUGCAUGUUUGUUUGAAAUCUAAAACUGAGAAAGAAAUUUAGAAACCAAAGCUUAAUUUGUAGAGUAAAACCAAAACUACAAGAAAACAUACAUUUAGCAACUGUAGAAUUAGACAUUAAAUAGUCGCUUAAUUGUGUUUUACGACUACUUUAUGUAGUCGAAAAUACUUAGUCGCUAAUAGGAAUAGUCGCUAUAUAGUCGAUAUACGCCCAUACGCACAAGAAAAGAAUAAGUAAUCGUGAGAUUCCAGAGUAUUAUCACAGAGAACUCACCUUCCCGAACCACCAUUGUUCCAUUGCAUCAUACGGUCACCUGUAGCGAGCCCUAGAAGUGAUUUGGUUAUAACUGAUAACUAGAAACACAAAACACGUUCUAACAAACUCUUUGGAUUUUUGCCAUCAUCUAGACAUAACUAGAAGAGAUGUAGUUAUAACUGAUAACUAGAAACUCUUAUCAACCACAAUAAAGAAACACAAAACACGUUGUAACAAACUACAUGUUCUUGCGCUUCUCGAUUCUUACACAAGUUACGUUCUUAUCAUUCCCUCCUCAAUCUACACAUGCACUUUUUCAUUCAUAUAUAUAUUUAAAAUUAUUUACACGAGGAAUGAUACAAAUCUGUAGACAGAAUACUUAUAAUAUAUACGUAUAUAGUUAUAAACCAACUUAGUCUAAGAACGUACAAUAUAUAACCAGGAAAACUCAUACGAAAUUAAUAGUGAAUCCUUAUUAAGCAACACAAAUUAAAGCUUUAACCAAUUUAUAUUUUAAUGGUUAAUCAGAAGAAAAAAAGGAAUAAACAUAUCAAACGAUAAGAUUAGGUUAGUCCACGCAGCAUGGGCAGACAGUCUAUAGAGAGCAAGUGAUAUCAAAUGAAGUUUGUGGUUACCAAACUUAGACCAACUAGUAUAUAAGGGAGCCUUGUUCCAUCACCGAUUCAUCAAUUCAAACUUAUAACUCUCUACAUAUACAUAUUGCAAUCAAACAACCGAUCAAUCCAAAGAUGGAAGGCAAAACAUUGAUUCUAAGUGUUCUCGUUAUGAGCCUCUUCAUGGCACAAAUCCAAGUUGACGCCAAGAGCUGCUGUCCUACCAGCACUGCUAGAAAUAUCUAUAAUAGUUGCCGCGUUGUGGGAGGUUCCAGGCCAACAUGUGCAGGCCUCAGUGGCUGCAAAAUCGUUGAUGGGUCAUGUCCUAAUGGAUAUCCUAAUGAGAAUCUUGAAAACACAAGUAAAUAAAACAUAUUGUGCUUUACUAUGUACGUUAUUUGUCUUAAAGGGAAAAAUCAAGAUUUAAUAAGAAGAAACAGUUAAGACCUAAACAAGCAUUGAUCCAUCUGACUGAGGAAAAAGAAAAGAACCUUGUUGAGUGCAGAGACCGAUGAGGGAGUAACUGGUGAUGACACUGAGACACAAAUCCUUCCUUUUGUGCCAUGAAUUAGGGCUUUCUUCAGGGAAGCUUCGAACCGAGACACACAGAGAGACCCUGAUCAACUAAACCACAAAUAAAACACAUUUAGUUAUAUAUAUAUAUAUAACUGGAGAAAAAAUUAUUUUAAUUAAACCAAAAAUAAAACACAAUUGAUCAUCUUUAUUUAUCUCUCACUUUAAUUUUAAACUGAAAAAUUUAUAUUCAAUUAAAACACAAUUAAUUAGAUCUCUACAUUUAACCCACACUUUAAUAUAAGAACUGAAAUUACAUAAAUUUGCAUUAACUAUAUUUCUCUACUCAAUUUUAUUCAACACAAAAUUAAUAAGAAUUAACUCCCACAAUUGUUGAUUCACUAUCACAUAACAAAAACAUCUAUUUUACUGAAUUUGCAUACAUUUUAUUUAAUUUACUUCCAUCAUUAAAGUGAAAAAAAGAACAGAGUAUUUUAUAAGGUUUCACUAUCUUCUUAUUGGUCUAUUUUCUAUAAAAUGUUUUUUAAAUGAUGUUUUCAACUAAACCAAAAAUAAAACACAUUUAGUUAUAUAUAUUAAACUCACACUUUAAUAUAAAACUAAAGAAAAAAUUAUUUUAAUUUAGCCACAAAUAAAACAAAUGUGAUCAUAUAUAUUUAUCUCACACUUUAAUUUAAAACCAAACGAUAUAUAUUAAUUAAAACCCAAUUAAUUAUAUACAUUUAACUCACACUUUAAUAUAAAAACUGAAAUAAUAUAAACUUGCAUUAACUAUAUUUUUCUACUCAAUUUUAGUCAACACGCAAUAAAUUAGAAUUAACUCCCACAAUUUUUUUCUUCUAAAUUAUAACUCAUCACUUCUCAUCUUAUAAAGGGUUAGUUAAACGCAGUUAAAAGUAAGUACACAAAUAAACCAAAAACAAAAAGGAAGGUAUUGAUAAGUUAAAAUUUAGUUUUUUCAAUGAGAGGGAGGAAAAAUUACUUGGCUAUCCCUAUACUAAUUUAACAAAAACAAAAAUUUUGCAAGGCUGUGAAAGUAUCUUAUUUUCUGGGCAAAUCUCUGACAAGAGGCGCCAACUUGGGGAAAAGUGAUUUAUAUCAACAAAAUGAUGAUGCGCUAUAUAGAUUGCUAUCAGAUAACUAAGUUGCAUAUAUAGAUUGUUAUCGGAUAACUAUGAUGUUAUCAAAUAUAAAUUGUUAGAUAAAAUUGCAUAUAUAGAUUGUUAUCGGAUAACUAAGUUGUUAUCAAAUAUAUAUAUGCUGAUUAAUAAUAUAUAAAGCGAUAAGUCCUAUGUUACGUCGGUAACCCUAUCGUAGUUAAAUUUGUAAAGUCUCUGAUUUAAAUGUUAUCGGAUAACGUGGACGUUAUGGUGGCAAGAUUGCAUGUCCUCGCUGAAUAAACCAAACAUAGUAGUUAAACUUGGUUCAUAUUUUUAGGAGGAUAGGGUUAAAAUUGUCUACAUAAAAAGAAAGCAAAAUAAUGAUUUAUGGAUGUUAGAUUCUUAAUUAAAUGGUCAACUAGGUCUAUGAGUUAUAAUUUCCCUCUUAUAAAUACUCAUUUUCUCAUUCUCUCAUUCCCUCCUCCUCUUCCACUUUCUCUCAAAUCUUCUAUAAUUUUGUUUGUUUUGUUUUGUGUUUUUUUUUGUUGGUUAUCUGUUGUUUGUGGUUGUAUGAGUUGAAAAAUAAAAUUUAAAUACCAUUGUAAAAGUUUAAUCUAAAUUUUAAUUUUAGACACUAUAUGAUAUAUAUUUACAUUGUUGUAUUGAUUUUUUAAGAUUUAUCUCUAUUGUCUAUUAUCUUAUAAUUAAUCUCUCUCACUCUCUCUCUCUCUCUCUCUCUCUCUCUCUCUCUCUCUCUCUCUCUCUCUCUCUCUCUCUCUCUCUCUCUCUCACUACAUUCAUGUAUCUUAAAUAUUUUUCUAUUUUGUGUUAUUAUAUGGAUUGAAAAUCAAUGAAAGUAUCAUUUAAAUAAUUUGAUCUUAAUUUAUUUUAGAAAGUAUGAUAUAUAUCAAACUUAGUUUCAACUUUUAUUUCUAAUGCCUUAUUAUACAUACUUUUUCAAUUUUUAUUUCUAAUGCCUUAUUAUACAUACUUUUCAUACUUAUGAGUAUAAAUGAAGAAAGUAUGAUAUACCACAUAUGUAAAAUAAAAGUUUUGAUUGCUAUAUAAAUAAAAGGUUCAAUUUAAACCUUUAAAAAUAACUUCUUCUAUUUUUUAAAAAAUCUCAAAUAUUUUUUUUGUAAUUCAAUUCAAUAUAUGUAUAAUUAUUUACUUUGUGAUCCAAUAGAUUAUUAUAUAAAAAUUGUUAUAAUAUGUAAUUUAUUUAAAAUUUGAGGUCUAAGUGUUUAAAAGAAACAAAAAGUACUUGAUUUUACAAAUUUGGUCUUUAAAGUUUUAUUUUUUAAAAGUCAUACCGUUCAUAAAAGUUAAAUUUAGUUUAAUUCAUUCAUCAAUUGAGUAGACAGUGAAUUAAUGAGCUUCUAAAAUCCUAUUAAAUUAUGAGAUUUAAUAAGGUAUGAGUUCUACAAUAAUAUCAUAUACACUCUACACUCUUAGUAACUUAACCAUUUGUUCUAAAUAAUAGUCUUUCUUUUCAUAACAAUAUAAAUAUCUACCCCAAGUUAGAAUUUCCUAGAGAGACCGAACAUAAAUUCGAUUUCUUAAGAGCAAUUCAUGAUUGUUGUCAUGUACAUAUAAUUGAUAUAUAACUUCGUUCAUCUUCUUUGUUAAUGUUGAGGUAAACAUGUGAUGCCUUUUUAAUAUAAAUUCAUUUCUUUAGCUUUUAUAGUAAUGUAAAUCUUUAUGUUUGUUCUUAAAUGUUUUCAAUAUUAGUUUUAUUUUUGAACAAAUUCUACAUAAAAAAUUCUUACUAUAUAAAAAAGGAUCUCAUCUACGUAUAUGUGAACAAAUUUGUAUUACUUUGUUUUGAUCUCAUUCGGUUUCAUAUUUUUUAAAUAUAUAUUUUAUUUACUUUUACUGUUUAUAAUGUACACAUAUAUGUUUUAUAUUAACAAUUACUUAUAAACUAUAUAUAUCUUAAUGUAGUUUUCAAUUUAUAUUGCAAAUUAAUAUUUCAUAUACAACCGACGCAUUGCGUGGGUAACUUUCUGAUGAGUUAAUAUAUUUGUGAAUUCGUUUUAAUUACUGAGCCUAAUUGUGUGUUCUGUCGAAGAGUGAGCUAUUUUUUUUCCCUGUGAAGCUUAAUUAGUUUCUUAUGAUCAUAUAAAGCAAUGCGUACAUAAUCACUUUAGUUGUUUUUAUAAUGCUACAUAGACAACAAUUUAUGAGGUUAAAAAUCCAAAAUUUUGAUAAAUUAUUUCAUUUAAUUUACGUUAUAUUUUUUUAUUUUUAAUUGGCACUAGAUAAAGUGUAUUCUUGACUGAAUUUUUAAGUAUUGUUUCUACGUACUCCAUUUUAAGCAUUUGUUUGCCAUGCGUGAAAUAGAUUCAAUCAAAGUUGUGUUUAAAAAAAAAAAAAGAGAUAUCGAUUUAUAUAUAAGAAAACAGAUCAAGAUUACAAUAGUUGAAGCUAGUUAGAGCAGAGAAUACAUGAGAGACAGAUUUCAAAAACCUAAUGUUGAAGCCAAUCAAAGUUGUUGAAAAACAUUUCUGCAAAACACAUUUAUUAUGUACGAAAAUACAACAAUGUAACUGUUUCAUUUUGCUAUUAAAAAACUCACUGAACAAUCCGAAAUUAGCUUGUCAUACGAUGGGAAGCUCCAGUAUCCGAGAAUAUACUUUUCUUUUAUAAACUAAAAUAAAAAAGAUAGGUAUAAUUUUCUUGCAUAAUAUAGUUAUCGAACAUGUUUACAUGUAAAAAUUGUCAAGUGGUUUUGAGUUUAAAGCAUUUUUUGUAAACUCAUCAUCUCAAUCAUCUCAUGUUAUUGGUAACUUUCUUUUUCAAAUUAUUAACUCUCAUAUAAUUUUUGUUAACUUUCUUUUUCAAUCAUCUCAAAGUUUAUAGAGAGAGAAUACUUAUAAUACAAACUCUAAUAUAAACAAAAUUAGUAUAAUUAAGAACGUACAUAAUAAUAACACGGUUAGUAAGAUCAUACAGAAUAUAACCAGCAAAACUCACACGAAAUAUAUAAUAGUGAAUCAAAAGAAUGACAAAAAGAAUAAAAAAAGAUAGGGUUGGACAGACAUUUAUUUGGCAUUUAUUUGGUCCUUGAUGUAUAUAUAUUAUAUGGUCCCGACUAUAGAGAGCAUGUGAUAAAUUUGGCAUUUAUUUUGUCCCGACUAUAUAUUCUAUUUUUUUUUUAAAUAAUAUAAAUUAGAUUCAAAAGAAUUUUUUUUUUACAACUCGUGCAGGUUUGUUUGAAAUCUAAAACUAGGAAGGAAAUUUAGAAAAGAAAGCUUAAUCUGUAGAGUAAAACCAAAACUACAAGAAAACAUGCAUUUAGCGAUUGUAGAAUUAGUCGCUAAAUAAUCCAACAUAAUUGUGUUUUACGACUAUUUACGACUAUGUAAAUAGUUAGUCGCUAAUAGGAAUAGUCGCCAUAUUAUAGUCGUUAUACGCCCAUACGCACAAAAAAAGAAUAAGUAAUCGCGAGAUUCCAGAGCAUUAUCACAGAGAACGCACCUUCCCCAACCACCAUUGUUCCAUUGCAUCAUACGGUCACCUGUAGCGAGCUAACCACGUCCAAAGGCAAACUUUGGUGUGGCGUGGCGGAAACACAGUCCCUUAGACCAAAACACCUCAGCUAUAUAUUACAUUCAAAUCUCCAAUACAAAACAAAAUGUUGAUUAAAACAAAAAGAAUCACAAAAGACGUUCUAUCAAAUUAUAAUUGGAUUUUUUCCAUCAUCUCGACAUAACUAGAAGAGAUUUAGUUAUAACUAAUAACUAGAAACUCCUACCAACCACAAUAAAGAUUUCAACUAUCCUUUAAGAUAAGGUUGGUUUACACAGCAUGGACAGACAGUCUAUAGAGAGUAAGUGAUAUCAAACGAAGUUUGUGGUUACCAAACUUAAACCAACUAGUAUUUAAGGGAGCCUUGUUCCAUUACCAAUUCAUCAAUUCAAACUUAUAACUCUCUACAUAUACAUACUGCAAUCAAACAACCGAUCAAUCAAAAGAUGGAAGGCAAAACUUUGAUUGUAAGUGUUCUCGUUAUGAGCCUCUUCAUGGCACAAAUCCAAGUUGACGCUAAGAGCUGCUGUCCUACCAGCACUGCUAGAAAUAUCUAUAAUACUUGCCGCGUUGUGGGAGGUUCCAGGCCAUCAUGUGCAGGCCUCAGUGGCUGCAAAAUCGUUGAUGGGUCAUGUCCUAACGGAUACACUAACGAGAAUCUUGAAAACACAGGUAAAAAAUACAAUAUUAUGCUUUAUUAUGUACGUUGUGUGUCUAGCUUAUUGUCUUAAAAGAUAAAUCAAGAUUUAAUUGUUUCUUUUGUGUUUUGUCUCAAGGUGAUGUUGUUAGUGGAUACUGCAAGGUUGGAUGUGUAUCCUCUGUGUGCGGUGGUUUAACCACUCUCCAAAACUCUGGUAAAGCUAACUCUCAAAACUCCUUAUCAUUACUAUCAUUUGUUUUUAAAAUAAUAAACAAGAGAACAUAUAUAUGAUAUACAUUUUCAAAUUUUGUUUCGAUAACUAGAUGCAAGUGAAAUCGUGAAUGAAGCUGCUGGAAACUGUGCCUUGGCGUGUUCUAAAGUCUGCAACAAAGGUUCGAUGAAUGCAGUUGGAACUGCCUAGACAACCUUAUUCACAAAGAUACGAAGUACAUCAUCUAUGGAGUGUUGUUUUUCAUGUUUUUCAUGUUUUCAUCAAUAAUUGUCGUGUAUGUGAGAAAAAUGUAGAAGGUUAUCGAUCCCUAGAUUGCAUAUGCCUUCUAUUCCCUAUGUUUUCAAUAAUAUGUAAUUGUGUCGUGAUAUUUUACGUUCAACCAUUGAAGUUACUUUGUGCCUAGCUAUAUUACAUAGUAUCAACCAUUUUACCAAACUAUUUGAUUAAUAUUCACAUAAAAAUUCAAUCUAAAAGACGAGACUGAAAAAAACAUGUUAAAUUCAACGAAUUUAAUUAUGUGUUAUAUGAGUUUUUGCAGGCUAUUUAAGUAAAAAUAUAUAAAAAAAGAUGCAUUGUUUAUAUUUUUUUAAACAUAUCUCUGAUAAAUGAUACAAUAUUCACUAAAAAUAUCUGAUUGAAUCAAUAAACAACAGAUGAUGGUUUUGGUUGGUCAUAUAGCUUACGGUUUUGUGUGUAUCAGAUUUAUCCCUACUAUAGUAAAAGAGAAGUACACAAGGGAUUCGGGUCGGUUUUUUUAAAGAAUUCCGAGUUAAAUUUUCAAUCGGAUAGUUGCCAUUAUUAAACUAAGUAAAAAGACAGCUUAUUUUAAGGAAUUAUGGUAAAAAUUACCUAAAAUAGAUCUCAAUCUUUAGAAAAAUAUUUAAAUAUGUAAAUUAUACCACAAUCUUGUGAUUUUAUUGUUAAUCGAUUCAAAAUUUUAUUAAAUAUCAUAACUAUAAAAUCUUAAUAGUUACGAUUUAGUUAUUUAAAUAUAGAAUAUGAAUUUUUGAAAUAUGUAAAAUUUUAAAUAGAAAAUGCAUGAUUCAAAUAAUAAAAUUACAUAUUCGUUAAAAAUAGGUGGUGUAUAAAAAAUCUAAGAGUGAACAUUUAUUUACCUAAAUAUAUGAAGAUUUAAAAAAAAUAUAUAUAACCAAAAAAGAGAUUGCUAUAUAAAAAGUAAAAAAAAACGUAUUUACUAUUUAAAAAUUAAGUGUAUAUAUAGCAAAAUCUAACACCAUUUUAUAUAUGACAAAAAAAACUCUGCUUUACCGAAUAUAUAACACCAUUUUAAUAUAGUUUCUAAAUUAUUUUCGAAUUUAUAAGAAAAAACAUUAAUACAUAAAUGUAACUAUAGAUCCUAAUUAUUAAAAAAAUCCAAAUACUAAUUAAUCAAUUUUUAUUCAACUCUAGGUUAUUUUAAUACACUUUGCCAAAAAUUUGACACCAAAUAUACAUUUUGAAAUAAUAUAUGUUGAUUAUAAAAUAAACAAAAUAAGAACAAAUACUAUAUAACACGUUAAAUAAAAACCCAAAAUCCUUCACCCUGUAGCGCGGGUCCGAUAACAAAAUUCUGAUACACAAAAUAACAAAACCGAUACUUUUCCUCCGCGAUGUAGCGCGGUUCCGGACCUAGUUGUUUUGUAUUAAAUGAGAUAAUAUAUUUGUGAAUUCGUUUUAAUUACUGAGCCUAAUUGUGUGUUUUGUCGAAGAGUUAACUAUAUGUUUUUCCCUGUGAAGCUUAAUUAGUUUCUUAUGAUCAUAUAAAGCAAUGCGUACAUAAUCGCUUUAGUUGUUUUUAUAAAUGCUACAUAGACAACAAUUUAUGAGGCUAAAAAUACAAGUUUAUGAUAUAUUAUUUCAUUUAAUUUACAUUAUAUUUUUUUUAUUUUUAAUUGGCACUAUAUAAAGUGUGUUCUUGACUAUAUUUUCCUCUAUCAUUGUAUUCAUAACAGUCAUUUUAAGUGCUUUUCAUUCUCUUCCUUUGGAAAUUGUUGACUAGGGUCGUUAGAUAGACUUUAUAAUGCCUAUUGAUUAUUUCGUUGGCUUUGAAAGAACUUGAUAAUUGACUGAUUAGUAAAGGGCUUUGAAAGCAUAACCAAAGUCUUUGUAUGAGUCACUUUUGAUAUUAAUAAAUGAUAAACCAAAAAGAGACAAUCUUAAUUGCCCAAAAUAACUUGUGUCAUGCUAGAGAAGAGGACUCUCAUUAUCUCUUGUUCGGAUACAUAAGUGAGAUCUCCCGCCUUGUCGAUAGAUCCCCUGUUUUGAUUCCGCCUCUACAUUACUUAGACAACCAUAUCCAUGACGAUACGAUCUAUGUACAUCAUCUUGGUCUGUUGUUUUUCAGGAUUUAAAUCACUGUCAUGUAUGUGACAAAAAAUGUAGAAGGUUAUCGAUCCUUAGAUUUUAUAUGCCUUCUAUUCCCUAUAAUAUUCUAAUUAGUAAUUGUGUCGUGCUAUAUGCUUUCACUCAACGACCAUUCUAGUCGCUCUGAUCUGCUUUACUAAAUUAUACAAAAUAUUAUCCAACUCUUAAACUCAAUUAUUUUAGAAGAAAUUUGCCACAAUAGUACGUUUUUAAAAAUAAGUAAUAUAUGGGUAUAUAUAUGUCAGUGAAACAAACUUACAACAAAGGUUAAUAAGUUUUUGCAAACAUUAAAACAGUGUGAGAACCUAGUUUGCAAGUCAUUGAAGUGCACUUAUUUUUUCGGUCAAGGGUUUUGAGAUAAUUAAGUGUGUUUAUAUUGGAAUAGUCUUACGAUGGAUAGCUUUCAGGGCAAGGGUCUUUAUGUAAAUUUAAGCAUUUGUUUUUUACGUAAAUUUCAUCAUUUACUGAGUUGAGUGGUUAAGUAUUGUUUCUACGUACUCCAACUUAAGCAUUUGUUUGCCUAGAUUGUAAGUCGCAACUAAUUUUCAAGACAAUGCUUCAUUAAACAUGGAAUUCAUAAUAGUCGAGUUGCAGGAAAUAUGGCGAUACAUGCAGAGAAGAUUAAAAAAAAAUUACAUCCGUAAAGUAUAGACACUGUCACAGUCUUUCCAGGCUCAAAUCAAAGUUGUAUUUUUUUUUUAAAAAGAGAUACCGAUUUAUAUAUAAGAAAACAGAUCAAUAUUACAAUAGUUGAAGGUAGUAAGAACAGAGAAUUCAUGAGAGACAGAUUUCAAAAACCUAAUGUUGAAGCCAAUCAAAGUUGUUGAAAAACAUUUCUGCAAAAUACAUUUGUUAUGUACGAAAAUACAACAAUGAAACUGUUUCAUUUUGCUUAUUACAAAACCCACUGAACAAUCCGAAUUUGGCGUGUUAUUACGAUGGGAAGCUCCAGCAGUAUCCGAGAAAAUACUUUUCUUGUAUAAACUAAACUAAUAUAGUCAUCGAACACGUUUACAUGUAAAAAUUGUCAAGUGGUUUUGAUUAUAAAGCUUUUUUUUUUGUAAACUCAUCAUCUCAAUCAUCUCAUGUUAUUGGUAACUUUUUUUUUUUCAAAUGAUUUAGCAUUUAUUUGGUCCCAACGUGUUAUUCAAAAAAGGAUAGGGUUGGUCCAUGGACAGACAGACUAUAGAGAGCGUGUGAUAAAUUAAGCAUUUAUUUGUAUAUAUAUUAUUCAUUUUUUUUAAAUAAUGUUAAAUUCUAUUCAAAAGAAAUUUUUUACAACUCGUGCAGCGUUUGUUUGAAAUCUAAAACUGAUAAGGCAAUUUGGAAAACAAAGCUUAGUUUGUAUAGUAAAACCAAAACUGAAGCCCGUUGUCGUAGCGCCGGUCUCCAACGAGGCAAAUAGUCGAAUAUAUGUUUCUCAUUUGCAUAUCUAUCCAAGUUAUAAGCAGGGAAGUUGAGUUCGGAUUCUCGCGUGUCUCCUUCCAUUUUGCUCCUUCUAAAUAGUCUAAAUAGCCAUUUGUAGAGAAAUUAGACUUGAAGAUGUUCUUAGCUACUGCUGCCCAAAAUUCACCCCCGUACGCACAAGUAAUCCCGAGAUUCCAGAGCAUUAUCACAGAGAACGCACCUUCCCGAACCACCAUUGUUCCAUUGCAUCAUACGGUCACCUGUAGCGAGCUAACCACGUACAAAGGAAAACUUUGGUGUGGCGUGGCGGAAACACAGUCCCUUAGACCAAAACACCUCAGCUAUAUAUUACAUUCAAAUCUCCAAUACAAAACAAAAAGUUGAUUAAAACAAAAAGAAUCACAAAAGACGUUCUAACAAACUACAAUUGGAUUUUUGCCAUCAUCUAGACAUAACUAGAAGAGAUUUAGUUAUAACUAAUAACUAGAAACUCCUACCAACCACAAUAAAGAUUUCAACUAUCCAUUAAGAUAAGGUUGGUUCACAGUCUAUAGAGAGCAUGUGAUAUCAAACGAAGUUUGUGGUUACCAAACUUAGACGAACUAGUAUAUAAGGGAGCCUUGUUCCAUCACCAAUUCAUCAAUUCAAACUUAUAACUCUCUAAAUAUACAUAUUGCAAUCAAACAACCGAUCAAUCCAAAGAUGGAAGGCAAAACUUUGAUUCUAAGUGUGCUCGUUAUGAGCCUCUUCAUGGCACAAAUCCAAGUUGACGCCAAGGUCUGCUGUCCUACCACCACUGCUCGAAAUGUCUAUAAUUAUUGGGAUAUUAUUUAUCAUAGUAAAUCAUAUCCCACAAUUAUCGUACAUAGACUUAUUUGUUACCUAUUCUGCAAUGUAAAUUAUCUGCAUAUCUUUACUCUUUAGACUAGGUCAUCAAGUCCUUGUAAUAUAUAAGUAUGUAAUGGCCUCUCAAUGAAAUACGCAGAACACAUUCAUUCUCUGUCUGUUUAUGGUAUCAGAGCGGGUCGAAACAGUUUUUUUGAUUUUCUCUUAGUUUCUCUCUGCAACUCGAUCAUGGCUGCAACCAACGAACCAAACACGAACACGAACCCGAUGACCGGCGAGGUGAGACGCAAAAUCUCUCCCUACGACUUGAGUGCUGCGGACAAUCCGGGCGCUGUGAUAUCACUACCUUUGUUGAAAGGACCGAAUUAUGAAGAAUGGGCUUGUGGAUUGAAGACAGCUCUUUGCUCACGAAAGAAGUUUGGAUUUCUCGAUGGCUCCAUUGCUCGUCCUGCUGAUGGAUCUCCUGAUCUGGAAGAUUGGCUAACCAUUCAAGCCUUGCUCGUAUCAUGGAUUCGCAUGACAAUUGAUCCUUUGCUGCGGUCCAACGUUUCUCAUCGUGAUGUGGCUAAGGACUUGUGGGAUCACUUGAAGAAACGAUUUUCGGUGACUAAUGGACCACGGAUUCAGCAAUUGAAGGCAGAGCUCGCCUGUUGCAAGCAAAGAGGUCUCGCCAUUGACGCGUAUUACGGAAAAUUGAAUCGCAUUUGGGAUAACAUGGCGCAUCACAGACCUUUGCGUGUUUGUAAAUGCGGUAAGUGUGAGUGUAAUCUCACUGUGCUUCAAGAACAAGAUCGUGAGGAGGAUAAGGUUCAUGAUUUUUUGGCUGGUCUUGAUGAUGCAUUCAAGACAGUUCGAUCCAGCCUCGUGUCUCGUCUACCCAUUCCGUCCAUGGAGGAGGUGUAUAAUGUUGUUCGUCAAGAGGAGGAUUUGAAGACAAAUGUCAAACAAAGUGAAGAAGUUGCUGAAGUCACAGCAUAUGCGGUACAACAACGACAUCGCACCAACCCCUCUGCUCGUUCUGAUGACGCUCAACCAGUGUGCAAGCACUGCAGUCGAACUGGUCACUCCUCCGAUAGCUGCUUUGCGGUUGUCGGGUAUCCGGAGUGGUGGGGUGAUCGUCCAAGGAGCAGAACGGUUCAAGGUCGUGGACGUGGACAAUCUGCUGGACGUGGUCGUGCCUAUGCAAACGUAGUUCAUGUUCCUAAUGUGACGCCUCAGGAACAUGCAAAUUAUGUGAUCACGGACAAAGAUCGUGAUGGAGUGACUGGUUUAAAUGAGCUUGAGUGGCAGAACCUGAAGAAGCUUUUAAAUGGUGGUGCAAGCACAAGUCAUGAAAAGCUUUCUGGUAAGUGUUUUUCUCCUUCUUGGAUAUUAGAUACAGGAGCUUCACAUCAUCUAACAAGUAAUUACAAAACUCUUACCAAUGUAAGAGAAAUGGAACCUGUAUUGGUGAUUUUAGCGGAUGGUCGUGAACGCAUAUCAUGUCAAGAGGGGACUGUUGUAUUGGGUAGCAAUCUGGUCUUGAAAUCAGUGUUUUUUGUGGAAGAGUUGCAAAGUGAUCUUAUUUCAGUGGGGCAGUUAUUGGAUGAGAAUAAUUGUAUUGUACAAUUAGCUGAUCAGUUCCUUGUGAUUCAGGACCGCGCUUCGCGGACGAUGAUUGGAGCUGGUAAACGAGACAAUGGAACCUACCGUUUUUGCAGAAUGGAGUCGGUAGCGUUAGUCACAACAAAGGAGAUGAAGGCUUAUGAGUUGUGGCAUAAUAGGCUUGGACAUCCAUCUGCGAGAGUAGUUGGUUCACUUCCGCAAGUGUCUGUUUCUGUUGAUUCUGAUUCUUUCAAUAAAGCGUGUGAUGUAUGUUUCCGCGCUAAGAAAACAAGAUCGUGUUUUCCUACUAGUGAUAAUAAAACAACAUCCGUUUUUGAGCUUAUACAUUGCGAUCUUUGGGGUCCGUAUCGAACUCCGUCUUCUUCUGGUGCUCGUUAUUUUCUAACGGUCGUUGAUGAUUUCUCCCGUAGUGUAUGGAUUACUCUUCAACAUGACAAAACUGAGACAUCAUCUAAUCUAAAAAAUCUGAUUGCAAUGGCUGAGAGACAAUUUUCGAAGAAAGUUAAACGCAUCAGAAGUGAUAAUGGGACUGAGUUCACAUGUUUGGGAGCAUUCUUUCGCAGUCAGGGAAUUAUUCAUGAGACAUCUUGUGUAGCAACACCACAACAGAACGCCCGUGUUGAGAGAAAGCAUCGACAUAUUCUCAACGUAGCUCGCGCUUUACGGUUUCAGUCGCAUUUGCCUAUAACCUUCUGGGGAGAAUGUAUUCUCACAGCUGGAUAUUUGAUCAACCGUACUCCGAAUUCAGUGCUUAAUGGGGUCACGCCAUAUGAGAAGUUACAUGGUACUGCUCCAAGUUUUGAUCAUUUAAAGGUGUUUGGGAGUCUUUGUUAUGCGUACAAUCAAACGCAUAAUGGAGAUAAAUUUGAGUCUCGGAGUCGUAAGUGCAUUUUUGUGGGAUAUCCAUACGGGAAGAAGGCAUGGCGACUCUAUGAUCUUGAUACAAAUGUUUUUUUUUGUAUCCAGGGAUGUUCGAUUUUGUGAAACAGAGUUUCCUUAUGAUGAUGCUGCAAUUGAUCGUGGUUCAGUCGAUCCCAACAGAGAAGAAGGAGAGGCAUUAUGGGCUCCUUUCUCCUCUAGCCCAGCUGAAGAUGUUGAUAUACGGCCUUUAUCAUCUCCUACUUCUUCUCUCGGCCCAACACAGAUAGAAAGCCCAUUAACAUCGUCCUCCUCUGCUCUCAAUCCAGUGCUCGACGAUCCUCUUCCGUCUCCCUCACCUUCGAUUACUCCACCUACAUCACCGGUUUCUGCUCCGGUGGUCUCACCUGUCACCUCUCCAUCUUCGUCAGAUGCUGAGGACGAGAACGACCAACUACCAGAGGCGGUUCCUCUUCGCCGUGGUAAUCGACCUCGACAGCCACCAAUCAAAUUCCGUGACUAUCAAACUAAUACAGCUCAGAUAAGGAUGUUGGGUACGUCAAAAUCUUUGUAUCCAAUUCAAAAUUAUGUGAGUUGUGCACGUUUUUCAUCCACUCAUCGUGCCUAUUUGGUGGCCAUUACGGAUGUCUUUGAGCCAAAGACAUAUAAUCAAGCAGUUAAGAGCAAAGUUUGGACAACUGCUAUGGAUUCUGAGGUUCGUGCUUUGGAGGAAAAUCAGACAUGGACGCUUGAGGAUCUCCCUCCUGGCAAGAAAGCAAUAGGAUCGAAAUGGGUUUACAAAGUAAAACACAAUGCAGAUGGGACUGUUGAACGCUACAAAGCGCGUUUGGUAGCUCUUGGUAAUAAACAAAUCGAAGGAGUUGAUUAUGGAGACACGUUUGCACCGGUAGCUCGGAUGCAAACUGUGCGUAUGUUUCUUGAAGUUGCUGCGGGUAACGCUUGGCCAGUCCAUCAGAUGGAUGUCCACAAUGCGUUCCUACACGGGGAUCUCUCUGAGGAGGUCUACAUGAAGCCUCCCCCAGGUUAUUUUACUAAUGGUGAAAAGCUGGUUUGUCGACUUCGGAAGUCUCUCUAUGGUCUUAAACAAGCACCUCGUUGUUGGUUUGAAAAGUUGACAACUGCUCUUCGUGACUAUGGCUUUCUUCAGUCUCUUUCGGAUUACUCCCUCUUUGUUUUUGACAAAGGAGGGAUACGGAUUAACAUAUUGAUCUAUGUUGACGAUAUGAUUUUGUCUAGUAACUCGACUGAGGCGCUUUCUGGUUUCAAAAGCUAUUUGGCGUCGUGUUUUAAAAUGAAAGAUUUAGGCGCUCUUAAGUAUUUUUUGGGCAUCGAAGUCUCGAGAAGUUCACAAGGUUUCUAUUUAAGUCAGCGGAAAUAUGCUCUUGAAAUAGUUGCUGAUGCUGGAUUGCUAGGUUGCAAACCAGACGCCUUUCCUCUAGAACAGCACAACAAGCUUGCGUUGUCUACUUCUUCUCUCUUACCCGAACCGGAGCAGUAUCGUCGUCUGCUAGGUCGUCUCCUAUACUUAGCUGCUACACGGCCGGAUCUCACUUUCAGUGUUCAGUUUCUCGCUCAAUUUAUGAAAGAACCACGCGAGGAUCACUGGGAAGCUGCGCUUCGUGUUGUUCGCUACAUAAAGGGAAAUCCAGGCCAAGGUAUUUUGUUGAGCGCUAAGAGAGAUUUUCAGAUUACAGGCUGGUGUGACUCUGAUUAUUCGACUUGUCCCCUUACAAGAAGGUCAGUUUCUGGUUAUUUUGUUCAAGUGGGCACAUCACCAAUAUCAUGGAAGACGAAGAAACAGAAAACGGUUAGUAUGUCCUCUGCUGAAGCUGAAUAUCGUGCUAUGGCUUUUAUCACAAAGGAACUCAUUUGGCUAAAGAGAGUUCUGUCUGAUCUUGGUGAAACUCACUCUCAACCAAUGCGUCUCUAUUGUGAUAGCAAGUCUGCAAUUCACAUUGCCACGAACCCGGUCUUUCAUGAACGUACGAAGCAUAUCGAGAAUGACUGUCACUUUGUACGUGAUGAGAUCAAAUCUGGUAAUCUUCAUCUACUUCAUGUUCAAAGCAACUCUCAACUAGCGGAUAUUUUCACAAAGCCACUUGGUCGUCAUAGCUUUGAAGAUUUUUGCUCCAAACUGGGCAUUUUGAAUCUCCAUGCUCCAGUUUGAGGGGGGGUAUUGGGAUAUUAUUUAUCAUAGUAAAUCAUAUCCCACAAUUAUCGUACAUAGACUUAUUUGUUACCUAUUCUGCAAUGUAAAUUAUCUGCAUAUCUUUACUCUUUAGACUAGGUCAUCAAGUCCUUGUAAUAUAUAAGUAUGUAAUGGCCUCUCAAUGAAAUACGCAGAACACAUUCAUUCUCUGUCUGUUUAAUAAUACUUGCCGCCUUCCCGGAGCACCCAUGUCAGUAUGUGCUGGCCUCAGUGGCUGCAAAAUCGUUGAUGGGUCAUGUCCUAACGGAUAUCCUAACGAGAAUCUUGAAAACACAGGUAAAAAAAAAACAAUAUUAUGCUUUAGUAUGUACGUUGUGUGUCUAGCUUAUUGUCUUAAAAGAUAAAUCAAGAUUUAAUUGUUUCUUUUGUGUUUUGUCUCAAGGUGAUGUUGUUAGUGAAUACUGCAAGGUUGGAUGUGUAUCCUCUGUGUGCGGUGCUUUAUCCACUCUCCAGAACUCUGGUAAAACAACUCUCGAAACUCUUUUAUCAUUACUAUCAUUUGUUUUAAAAAUAAUAAACAAGAGAACAUAUAUAUGAUACAUUUCAAAUUUUGUUUCGAUAACUAGAUGCAAGUGAAAUCGUGAAUGAAGCUGCUGGAAACUGCGCCUUGGCGUGUUCUAAAGUCUGCACCAAGGGUUCGAUGAAUGCAGUUGGAACCGCCUAGACAACCUUAUUCACAAAGAUACGAAGUACAUCAUCUAUGGAGUGUUGUUUUUUCAUGUUUUCAUCAAUAAUUGUCAGUGUAUGUGACAAAAAUAUAGAAGGUUAUCGAUCCUUAGAUUGCAUAUGCCUUCUAUUACCUAUCUUUUCAAUAAUAUGUAAUUGUGUCGUGAUAUUUUUCGUUCAACCAAUAAAGUUGCUUUUUGCUUAGCUAUAUUACAUAGUAUCAACCAUUUUACCAAACUAUUUGAUUAAUAU